rnacentral:tRNA from 1 species
GAGAGAGGCUUGCAAGCAACGAAUACUGCUAACUUUCGCCACCCUGGUUGAAAUCCAGGGCUCACUCG